AUACGGAGGGGGCUAGCGUUGUUGGGAUUUACUGGGCGUAAAGCGCGCGUAGGCGGCAAGGUCAGUCGGAUGUGAAAGCCCCGGGCUUAACCUGGGAAUUGCAUUCGAAACUGCCUGGCUAGAGUAUGGGAGAGGGAAGCGGAAUUUCCGGUGUAGCGGUGAAAUGCGUAGAUAUCGGAAGGAACACCAGUGGCGAAGGCGGCUUCCUGGCCCAAUACUGACGCUCAGGUGCGAAAGCGUGGGUAGCGAACAGGAUUAGAAACCCCAGUAGUCC
rnacentral:rRNA from 1 species